rnacentral:lncRNA from 10 species
GUGAAGGGGAAGGCAUGACAGAUGUGCCUUCCUUAGGGAGAAGUAGGAAGGCUGGAAUGAGGAGGCCAGAAGAGGAAUGUCCUACGUGAACGUGAUUUAACAGCUCCAUCGCCUGGGGCCACGUGGAAUUCUUGAAGCAGCUGUGUCAGACAUCCGAGUCAAGUUGGGGCAUGAGUGACCUCUCAACAUCUAAUGGAGCAUUUACUCCUUAGGCAGUUGAUGACAAUAGUUCUCCAAACCUGCUGAUCCCAAGGUGGCAGGUUUCCCGGUCAGCUGUGGCUCUGAAGUAGGAGGGGUUUGCAGGAGUAUCACACACAGCUGUAGAAGGAACAGAAUCAGAGCUGGAGAGGGAGAAUUGCUCCAUGGCCAUGAGUGGGUGUCCUCUCAAGCGGAGCCCCGAGUCCAGUAGAACUUGAGGCUUUUCGCCAACCCACGAAGUGCAGAUGGUAACGCUUGCUGUUGUGUCCCUGAGACUAUAUAGGGCCUAGUGUCUGGUUUAUGCCCUUGCACUGGGUCACUCUCACCCUGGAAUCACCCGGCUGGGGACUGAACCUCUCCUGCCACCACUCCAACUCCUCCUGAGACACUCACCUCCUAAGACACUCACCUCCUGGAAAGGCCACAUCUGUUUGCCAAGGACAGAGGCACCUUCUUUGGUCCAGAGAGCUGCAGGCUGUGGUUUAUUUCGCUGGCGACCUCUUCAUCACCAGGACUGUUCCAUAGAGUGCUGUGGUACCCGUGAAAGCCAAACUUCUAAGCUUCUCAAGUUCAAAUGAUAACUUCUCUCUGUUACCUUUUGUCAAGAAAACUUUGGAUUAUGAAUCUCCGUUAUGGGGGCUCAUAAAAUGAAUUGGGGUGCAUUCAUAGAGUUGGAACACUCUGGAGCCACUGAAAAGAAUGCGGCAAAGCUGUAAAAAGGAAAGAUGUCUGUGAUAUCAUCUAUAUUCUUUUAUGUUGUUAAGUGACAAAAUCCAGCUGUAGAGGAGCAUGAAUUGUUUUAUUCCAUGUUUAUUACAUAAUGAGUGUAGUGUCGGGAAAGCCAUAUACCAAAUUGUUCACAAUGGUUAUCUUGGGGGAGUGGAGCUUGGGAACUUGUACUCUUUGCUUGAUGCAUCUCUGCUUUGUCUCUCUCUUGAAUCAGCAUGAAUAAUUUUUUAAAAUUAGAAAACCUUCUUAUUAAUAUGGAGGUAAAUAUUGGGGCAGUCCAAGAUGGCAGCGGUCUCACGGUGAGGCCCUUGUUUUAUGGGAAGAACAUGAAGGUAGGAGUUUAAGAAACCCGAUUUUUCUCUUAACCAGGGGUUUUUCCUAAUUUUUUGUGCCAUGAUCCCUCAGGACAGUGUGAUGAAGUUUUUGGCUCCCUUCUCAGAACAAUGCCUUAGGGGCAUAACGUGAAAUACGUAGAAUUACAAAAGAAGCCAAAUAUAUUGAAAUAUAGUUAUCAAAAUACUUUUUAAAAAUUUUAUGAUAUAGUAAUAUAUGUGUAUUAAAAUAUAAGAUCUGGCUGCAGGUCUAAUAACGAUUUAAUUUAAAACUAGCCAUGAGCAUAAGUGAUAUUUUGAGAAAUCUGCAACAGCUGAAUAUUGCAUGAAAAUGUCUGUGACUUCUGGUGACAAAGUCAGAUGUGCUAGUGCUACUGUGGUUUGUCACCUUCUUCAUAAAUGAAGAAAAUGCUAGAUUGUAGUUAGAGGUAGUGAAAAUAAAGACGUAAUUUCCCAUCCAAUAUCAUAGAUCCCUGUUUAAAUUUCCCAGCCUAACAUCUAAUGUUCUUAACUGGCUGGGAAGUGUUGAAUAAUAUUGUUCCCGCCCUCACAGUCUCAACUGUUUCAUCAGUAAAAUGAGGGGCUAAGUGAUGGCAAAUGUGUAUGAUCUUACAUGUCAACUGUGAUUGAUUGGUAGUGACUUGGUGAGGCAUUUUGAGAUCACCUCUGAGUUCAAUUGGAAAGGAUGCCAAUUGGAAAGGAUGAAUGAUUGGUGAUGUCUGCCAUGGGUACUAGAUGGGGGAGAGAGCAAAGCGUGCAUGGCGUACAUGUCCAUUCCUUGACUAGAUGAGCCUGUGGCCCCUUCCACCUCUGAUAUUCUACUAUGUAUGAAAGUAAUUAUUCUCUUCUGAUUCUAAUUUAACAUAUCUCCUGUCCAACAACAAGAGCAACAACACAAGCAUUGGUUAGCCCUUCCUGGGGGCUUUGUGUGUGUGUGGCAUUGGCACUACCAACUCUACCCCUGUGGACCAAGUCUUCUGAUAGACUUUUUAUUAAGUAAAAUUGUAAGCAUUACCUCCAGUUUCAAUGAUAGAAUGGUUACUGGGAACAGAUUGUCUAGGAAGAAAACACAAAUUAGUAAACACAGUCUUACAAAUGAGCCAUCUGGAGAUUUAUUUACAUAAGAAAAGAGGAAGGACUUGGUAUUUUCAUGCUGGGGUUUGUUUCUCUUGCAAGUAGCCACAGGGGUGUAUUUAUCACGAGCACACAUUGAGCUUUUUAGUGAAGAUCACUGAAAGCAUGAAAAAAAAAUGCGCAUUUGGUUGGUUAUUUGGGAAAUGGGAAGGAAGAGAAGGGAGAGAGUAAGAGAGUCACACAUACACAUAUGCACACAAAGUUUUUGAAUGAAUUUUAGCAUAUAAGAUUUCAAAAUAGUUACAAUAUUUCACACCGUGCUUUUGAAAUUUUAUAUUAUUCCCAAAGUGCUAAAUGAGAAACAUUUUUCUAAAACAAUAUCAAAGGUGGAGGCAUUCAGCUAUCACGCAAAUAUAGAGGGGCCACGAAUAAUGCUGAGGGGACCAAAACCUUGACACCAGUUGACCAGCAGUGGGAACAGUGAUCCCUUGACCUCAGAGAGCUCCCUGGGUGUCAGACCAGCUCUGCAGAACCACUUAACCCCUCCUGCACCUUGUCCUUUUAUCCACUAAUACUAAAUGCCAAAAACUAAAAAACCCAAAUUUGUGAUACAGUGAUAUAUGUGCUCUUUCAAUGCAUUAAAAUACAAGAUCUAGCUGUAGGUCUGAUAACUACUAUCAUUUAGAAUUAGC